GAUGAACGCUGGCGGCGUGCUUAACACAUGCAAGUCGAACGGAAAGGCCCAAGCUUGCUUGGGUACUCGAGUGGCGAACGGGUGAGUAACACGUGGGUGAACUGCCCUGCACUUCGGGAUAAGCCUGGGAAACUGGGUCUAAUACCGGAUAGGAUCACUUCGUAGUUGUUGUGGUGGAAAGAUGUUUCGGUGUGGGGUGAGUUCGCGGACGAUCAGCUCGUUGUUGGGGUAGUGGCCGACCAAGGCGUCGGCGGGUAGCCGGCCGGAGAGGGUGUACGGCCACAUUGCGACGGGAGUCCGGAGUAGACUCCCACGCGCGACAGGCGAGAGCAAGAUGGAGCAACGCGCGGAGGCCUAUGGCAGCGACGGGGCGGGAAAGAUGACUGAUUUGGGAUUGUAAACUCCGUUCGCCACAGACGACUUUAGGACGGUAUUUGGAGAAGAAGCAACGGCUAACUACGUG
rnacentral:rRNA from 1 species